AUUGAACGCUGGCGGCAGGCUUAACACAUGCAAGUCGAGCGGAGCGAGGGUGCUUGCACCUUAGCUUAGCGGCGGACGGGUGAGUAAUGCUUAGGAAUCUGCCUAUUAGUGGGGGACAACAUUCCGAAAGGGAUGCUAAUACCGCAUACGCCCUACGGGGGAAAGCCGGGGAUCUUCGGACCUUGCGCUAAUCGAUGAGCUUAAGUCGGAUUAGCUAGUUGGUGGGGUAAAGGCCUAGCAAGGCGACGAUCUGUAGCGGGUCUGAGAGGAUGAUCCGCCACACUGGGACUGAGACACAGCCCAGACUCCUACGGGAGGCAGCAGUGGGGAAUAUUGGACAAUGGGCGGAAGCCUGAUCCAGCCAUGCCGCGUGUGUGAAGAAGGCCUUUUGGUUGUAAAGCACUUUAAGCGAGGAGGAGGCUACUAGUAUUAAUACUACUGGAUAGUGGACGUUACUCGCAGAAUAAGCACCGGCUAACUCUGUGCCAGCCGCCGCGGUAA
rnacentral:rRNA from 1 species